AUUGAACGCUGGCGGCAGGCCUAACACAUGCAAGUCGAACGGUAACAGGAAGAAGCUUGCUUCUUUGCUGACGAGUGGCGGACGGGGGAGUAAUGUCUGGGAAACUGCCUGAUGGAGGGGGAUAACUACUGGAAACGGUAGCUAAUACCGCAUAACGUCGCAAGACCAAAGAGGGGGACCUUCGGGCCCCUUGCCAUCGGAUGUGCCCAGAUGGGAUUAGCUAGAAGGUGGGGUAACGGCUCACCUAGGCGACGAUCCCUAGCUGGUCUGAGAGGAUGACCAGCCACACUGGAACUGAGACACGGUCCAGACUCCUACGGGAGGCAGCAGUGGGGAAUAUUGCACAAUGGGCGCAAGCCUGAUGCAGCCAUGCCGCGUGUAUGAAGAAGGCCUUCGGGUUGUAAAGUACUUUCAGCGGGGAGGAAGGGAGUCAAGUUAAUACCUUUACUCAUUGACGUUACCCGCAGAAGAAGCACCGGCUAACUCCGUG
rnacentral:rRNA from 1 species